rnacentral:rRNA from 1 species
UACAGAGGGGCCGAGCGUUGUUCGGAUUCACUGGGCGUAAAGGGUGCGUAGGCGGUCGGGUAAGUCUGAUGUGAAAUCUCACAGCUUAACUGUGAAACUGCAUUGGAUACUAUUCGGCUUGAGGUCUGGAGGGGGGACUGGAAUUCUCGGUGUAGCGGUGAAAUGCGUAGAUAUCAGGAGGAACACCGGUGGUGUAAACGGCUUUCUGGACCAUAACUGACGCUGAGGCACGAAAGCGUGGGGAGCAAACGGG